rnacentral:misc_RNA from 1 species
CACCAAGUCUGAUGAUCUUGC